UACGGAGGGGGCUAGCGUUGUUCGGAAUUACUGGGCGUAAAGCGCGCGUAGGCGGACCUGCAAGUCGGGGGGUGAAAUCCUGGAGCUCAACUCCAGAACUGCCUCCGAUACUGGGAGCCUUCGAGUCCGGGAGAGGUGAGUGGAACGUGCGAGUGUAGAGGUGAAAUUCGUAGAUAUUCGCAAGAACACCAGUGGCGAAGGCGGCUCACUGGCCCGGUACUGACGCUGAGGUGCGAAAGCGUGGGGAGCAAACAGG
rnacentral:rRNA from 1 species